GUGGAGCAAUCGCAUUUGAGACUCGGCACUCGUGGACAGACGGGCGUUCAGGGACUGGGGAGUUUUUGGAGGGGGGUGGGGAGGCCAAUAAACCAAGAAAACGUCAGAAAUAAAAGUCGCAUCAACCAGACUGUCUUCUUCACCGCUCCCGGGCUGCACCACUGUGGGCACAUCAAGCUUCGUCUGGCUCACCUGCAUGGUUCCGGCUGAUUCCUGCCUGAGAUGGCCCAUCGUACAACUAGGAUCCCAGAAUCUCCUGUCUGCACUCUGCGGAAGAAGGACCUAUUUCAGUCUCUGGCCAGGGUCUCUCACAGCCGAUGGGGUCUUGGAAGACAGGGUGAAGUUGCAGAAGACUGGGGUGGGAUGCGAAGGCAUGCGAAGGACUUGGAAAGGGAAUUUAGGAAUACUAUACAUCAGUGCCCACCGAUGAUAUGCAUACAGGGCGAGGGCAGCCACCGCCCCUGCCUCACGCACCUAACCCCGGCUGCUCGCUGGGAUUGUCUGAGGGGGACAACCCAGGUCUGGAUGUGGUGGCAUUUUUUCAGAGAGUGGAACUGAAGAUGGAUGAAGCAGGUACUUGCUGUGUCUGCUUGGCAGGGCAGAGCUGGAGAAAUGGAAGGGGAAAAGAAGAGAUGCUGACUGUCGUAAGAUUGUCUGCUGCCAGCUCCGCAGUCUUAAUCUAAGGAAGGAUGGCAUAGUGGAUCUGCCAGCACGUGCAUGGAGGAACUGUAAAUUGCAGUGUGGAUGUCCCUGGUACUGUCAAGGAAGAAACUGAUGGGCUGGGUGACUGUACAGUGUCCCCAGAGAAAAAUAGCAGCCUUGCAGCAUGGAUUUAAGUGCAUGUGCAUGCGUGUAGAGACAUGGAAGAGACUGUGUAACACAUACACACACAGAGAGAGAUAUGAGAGAGAGAGAGAGAGAGAGAGAGAGAGAGAGAAAGAGAGAGACUCUUUGCUGGGUUGGGUUUGAUUACAAGCCAGUGUUUUCAGCUCCUGCUCAAGACCUAUUUCCUGGCUAGCCAGAAAGCUCGGCCAGAGCAGCUGCAUAUAGACUUUUCUUUUUAACGGCAUAGCAAACCCCUUCAGUUUUAACUCCUUGAAGUUCUAAGUGCUCAGCGUUGGGCUAAGGCUCACUGUACGGUUUUGUUUUCUUCUCCUACAGAGCCCUGUAAACACAGCUGUAUUCAGUAUGGCAGAAAAAUUCUGUCCCUUAAAUAGAAAUGCGAUCAAUUUAAUCAAAAUAAAUGUAUCCCAGAUGACUCUGAGGCCAGCUGGAUACCACAGGCUUCAGAAGCUAAGCAUUCAGUGGAGAUGGAUACAGUGUUAGAUUUACAUGCUUUCAAAUGCUAGGAUCAGCUAUGCUUAAUAAAGGAAAUUCUUUAAGGAAAAGGGAGGGUCCUCCUGGCACCCAGCUAUAGAUGGUGACCACAGGUGCUGCUGCUGAUCCUGGCACUGGGGUUUGUGGCUGUCGAGCUUGCAGGGGUGUGUGGCAUGAGGCAGGGCACGGCUGAUGUCAGUGUGAAGAAAGCUUGCAGCCUGCUUGAGGCUGUAGGAAGGAGGAGGGUGGCCUCUCAUUGCCUCUGUCGGGGCUUGGCUGGUACUAGAAGCUUGUAGAUAGAUAAGGGUGAGCUGGGUGAACUGAGCUCUGAGCCGGGAGCAAGCAGCUUUCCCAGUUGUCAUGGGGGCUCCUCUGGGACGCCUGUCUGGCCUGUCCUCCCACUGUUUGUUAGAAAUUCUACAAAGCGGCUCUGUGUGCUGGAUUAUGUUUGGCCAGCUGUUGGUGCAUUCCUGAGGGUGGGGUGGAGACAGGAUCUUAUUACUGUACUUCCAAACUGUAGAUCUAUGUGGGGAGAGAGAGAGAGAGAGAGAGAGAGAGAGAGAGAGAGAGAGAGUGUGUCAGGAUGUGGUGGGGAGAGGAAAGAAACGCAAGCAAGUCUGAUAAUCCCUUCUCCUUCUCCAGGUUGUGCUAGAGGAGCAUUCAGAAAGGCUAUGAAGUGAAAGAGAGAAAGGAGAGGGUAAGGGGUGGGAGCACAGUGGAACAGCCAUGAGACAAAGCAGAACUUCAAAGCUGCAGAGACGAGCAGAAUGUCAGCAGCUUGUAAUUAGCGGUUCAUGGUUGCGUCAGAGACUGUAUCUCUCCAAGAAUAACUGUGUGCUGUGUGCCACAGAGUGCAGAAGACAGUCAUAACUAAGUUAUCAAGCACAGUUCAAAUGAGGGCAGACACAUGAAGGCAUUUUCUGUUUGAAAAUUAAGCAGGGCUGAAGUGCACAUCUCACUGGCUGGAUUCUGCCUAACUUCUGGCAGGAAAUGCUCAGCGUAUAGGAGGGUGUUUGUUAGAUCAAACAGGGGACCCAUAAGCAUGCAGACUGAGCAUGCAAGCUCCGUCCCUGUAAAAUACCGUCCCAAACAGCCCGGUACUGCACUGCUGGGGUCCUGUCUCCGUAUAUACCCAUUCGCUUUUGUAUGCCAAUGGGAGAAAGUUAAAAGUACACCCAAGGACAUAUGUCCCCAUUAGAUUCUAAAAUCCCUACUAUAGAAUUAAAACCUGACUGCAGGUUCUGAGUUGUUUUGGUAUUCUUAAUUUAUACGCUGAAGAAGCUCUUUUUUUGCAAUUAUCUUGUUGGUAACCCUGUGAGGAAGCGACAUACCACUAUAUGAUGUUGAAGGGCACCUUUCCCUUCCAUCCCCUGUCUCUGUUAUUUGGAGGUGUGGGGCGUUCUCUGGAGCCUCCAGGAGGAGCUGGUGGGAGGAGCUGAUUGGCUAGCAGGCUCAGCGUGUUUACUCUUAUUUGUUUUCAGUGCUCCUUCGCAGCGUGCAUUUAGUAUUUGUAUUUGUGUUCAUGCUGCACAAUUACUACUGACCAGCUUUGUUUCUCUGCCCGAAGCGAAGUCAAUUUUAGUUCAGCCCCUGCAGUUGAGUCCCUGGACAAUAUGCACAUAUGUAUUAUGUUACCCGUGUAUGCACUUUUCCUUUUAAAAACGUGGAUUAAGGAAAAUUGUAGGCAAGGAGAGACGUGUAUAUGAAAUCAAUAGCUUUUUGAAUCACAUGUAAUAUAAUUUAAAUAUACUCACUUUAAGAUUGCCAAA
rnacentral:lncRNA from 1 species